UGCAGCUCGGCGGAUCUGUCGUUGUGUAAGAUUACUGUAGAUGUAUCUGAAUGUUUUCUGCAAUAUUAACGGCAUAACACAAGGAAGGAUUGAAAGACAACGUACCUGAGGAACACACCUCCGCUGAGUGUCUUCACACACCUGAGUGAUGUUACAGGUCCAUCCAUCAGUCUUAAGACACACACACACACACACAUCACUCAUCAUCAUGUUGACGUCAGCUCUUUAGUUGGAGGUUCGAGACCUUCAUCCAAACCUCUGUCAUCAUCAUCUGUUCAUCCCAAUCCCGGGAAAGCAGCCGCCUCCACACACACAGCUGUAUUACUGUCUACUUUAUUCAUCUAUAGCACAUUUAACAGCAACGUUGUGGCCCAAAGUGCUUCAUAAUUAUAACUAAAAAAAAUAAUGCAUACAUAUUUAAAAACAUUUACAGAGCCUAGCCAAUGAAGCCAUGACUACACACACACACACACACACACACACACACACACACACACACACAACUGUCGUGAUCUCACUGCAAAAACAUGCUUUACUCACUCAGUGUUUCUGUCUUGUUUCCAGUCUAGAUGUCUAAAAAUUCUUAAAUCAAGAUGCAUUUAGAUGAGUAAAAUGACAAGAUAUUAUUACAAAAUUAAGUAAAAGUUCUCGCUUAAAAUAAGUAAAAUGAUCUGCCAAUGGGAUGAGAAAAUAACGGUGACUAACAGAAACAAGAUAAUUUUACAACACGGAAACUUAAUCUAGUUUUUUCCCGCCCAGAAAACAAGAUAAUAACAAUAAUAUAAUGUCAUUUUACUACUCUAGA